AGGACGAACGCUGGCGGCGUGCCUAAUACAUGCAAGUCGAACGGUCUUUCUAUGGAAGCUUGCUUCCACUGAGAAGAUAGUGGCGAACGGGUGAGUAACACGUGGGUAACCUGCCCAUAAGAGGGGGGAUAACAUCCGGAAACGGGUGCUAAUACCGCAUAGUUUUCUUGGUCGCAUGAUCGGGAAAGGAAAGACGGCCUUUGUGCUGUCGCUUAUGGAUGGACCCGCGGCGUAUUAGUUAGUUGGUGAGGUAACGGCUCACCAAGACGAUGAUACGUAGCCGACCUGAGAGGGUGAUCGGCCACAUUGGGACUGAGACACGGCCCAAACUCCUACGGGAGGCAGCAGUAGGGAAUCUUCCGCAAUGGACGAAAGUCUGACGGAGCAACGCCGCGUGAGUGAAGAAAAGGUUUUCGGAUCGUAAAACUCUGUUGUCAGAGAAGAACAAGUUGGAGAGUAACUGCUCCAGCCUUGACGGUAUCUGACCAGAAAGCCACGGCUAACUACGUGCCAGCCGCAGC
rnacentral:rRNA from 1 species